ACAGGGAUUGCCCUAGUAACGGCGAGUGAAGCGGCAACAGCUCAAAUUUGAAAUCUGGCGUCUUUGGCGUCCGAGUUGUAAUUUGCAGAGGGCGCUUUGGCAUUGGCAGCGGUCCAAGUUCCUUGGAACAGGACGUCACAGAGGGUGAGAAUCCCGUACGUGGUCGCUAGCCUUUACCGUGUAAAGCCCCUUCGACGAGUCGAGUUGUUUGGGAAUGCAGCUCUAAAUGGGAGGUAAAUUUCUUCUAAAGCUAAAUACUGGCCAGAGACCGAUAGCGCACAAGUAGAGUGAUCGAAAGAUGAAAAGCACUUUGGAAAGAGAGUUAAAAAGCACGUGAAAUUGUUGAAAGGGAAGCGCUUGCAGCCAGACUUGCCUGUAGUUGCUCAUCCGGGUUUUUACCCGGUGCACUCUUCUAUAGGCAGGCCAGCAUCAGUUUGGGCGGUUGGAUAAAGAUCUCUGUCAUGUACCUCUCUUCGGGGAGAACUUAUAGGGGAGAUGACAUGCAACCAGCCUGGACUGAGGUCCGCGCAUCUGCUAGGAUGCUGGCGUAAUGGCUGUAAGCGGCCCGUCUUGAAACACGGACCAAGGAGUCUAACAUCUAUGCGAGUGUUUGGGUGUCAAGCCCGAGCGCGUAAUGAAAGUGAACGGAGGUGGGAGCCUUUCGGGGUGCACCAUCGACCGAUCCUGAUGUCUUCGGAUGGAUUUGAGUAAGAGCAUAGCUGUUGGGACCCGAAAGAUGGUGAACUAUGCUUGAAUAGGGUGAAGCCAGAGGAAACUCUGGUGGAGGCUCGCAGCGGUUCUGACGUGCAAAUCGAUCGUCAAAUUUGGGCAUAGGGGCGAAAGACUAAUCGAACUAUCUAGUAGCUGGUUCCUGCCGAAGUUUCCCUCAGGAUAGCAGUAACGUUUUCAGUUUUAUGAGGUAAAGCGAAUGAUUAGAGGCCUGGGGGUUGAAACAACCUU
rnacentral:rRNA from 1 species